rnacentral:lncRNA from 1 species
GCUAAGACUUCCCAUUGUCAAUGUAUUUCCUAGUGUCUUGCUGAAGGGACCAACAUCUGGGCCAUUAGAAGGAAAAUAUGAAGAGGAUUUUGCUAAUCCAUAACCUAACACUGACCGUUGCUUCUGAAACUUCCAUAGAAGAAUGGCAAGAAGUUAAGAGACGAUUUCCUGUACUUGUAUAAGGAGCAAAAAAGUGUAUAAUGAAUACAUAUUUUUAGAAGCUCCAAAGUAGAAGAUGAAUGCAGCAAAUUGACAAAAGGGAACACACAAUUGAUCAUGGCUUGUCAACUAGGUAGCGUAUAAUGCAUGAUGUAGUGGUGACUGAACAAGUUUCUCUCAUUGCAAAACCUAAUCACAUACCCGGGAUAAUCUAUAUUUAAAUCUUUUAGGAAUAAUGACACAAAUACACCCACCCCCAAUUGUUCAAUUGUCAACCUACACAGAGUAUACAGUGGAGCUGUCAAACUGAUCCAUGGGCAACAGCUGACCUAAAAACCCAGACACAGAGAGCCAAACUCAGAGCUGAGAAUUAAACUUAGGUCUGGGUUGAAAACAGCCUAUGAAACCAGGGUAAACCAAGAAG